rnacentral:rRNA from 1 species
CACGUAGGGCGCAAGCGUUGUCCGGAAUUAUUGGGCGUAAAGAGCUCGUAGGCGGUCUGUUGCGUCCGCUGUGAAAACUCGGGGCUUAACCCCGAGCCUGCAGUGGAUACGGGCAGACUAGAGGUAGGUAGGGGAGAAUGGAAUUCCCGGUGUAGCGGCGAAAUGCGCAGAUAUCGGGAGGAACACCGGUGGCGAAGGCGGUUCUCUGGGCCCUACCUGACGCUGAGGAGCGAAAGCGUGGGGAGCGAGCAGG